rnacentral:rRNA from 1 species
GACGAACGCUGGCGGCGUGCUUAACACAUGCAAGUCGAACGCUGAAGCACCAGCUUGCUGGUGUGGAUGAGUGGCGAACGGGUGAGUAAUACGUGAGUAACCUGCCCUUGACUCUGGGAUAAGCCCGGGAAACUGGGUCUAAUACUGGAUGCUACAUGUCACCGCAUGGUGGUGUGUGGAAAGGGUUUACUGGUCUUGGAUGGGCUCACGGCCUAUCAGCUUGUUGGUGAGGUAAUGGCUCACCAAGGCGACGACGGGUAGCCGGCCUGAGAGGGUGAGCGGGCACACUGGGACUGAGGCACGGCCCAGACUCCUACGGGAGGCAGCAGUGGGGAAUAUUGCACAAUGGGCGAAAGCCUGAUGCAGCGACGCCGCGUGAGGGAUGACGGCCUUCGGGUUGUAAACCUCUUUCAGCAGGGAAGAAGCCACAAGUGACGGUACCUGCAGAAGAAGCGCCGGCUAACUACGUGCCAGCCGCCGCCGUAACAC